ensembl:lncRNA
UGCUCCUUUGCUGCCAGUUAUUGGCUGCAAGGCAGAGGAUGGCUAGCUGCAGUAUGGGGAGGGGAGCAAAGCACUGACACGCAAAGGGAAGCGCAGCUGCUUGAAACUCGCUGUUUAUGAAGCAGAACUUUCCCUGCAAAACAGCAGCAGAUUUGCUCCCUUUAUGCUCCUGGCAGAGCUGGAUGGGGAAAUGGGGUCAUAUAGGAACAGCCCCAUCCUGAAGCCGAGCUCUGAGCGCAGCAGAUACGAGGAGCAAAGGGAGAGAUGGCGAAACCCAAAGCAACGUGGGGUGCUCAGCUCAUUGCUGAGCUGCUCUGGCUUUGCUGGGGUGCAAUAAGACAAGCAGGCGCUGUGGCUGCAGGGCUGCAGUGCUACCCGUGCUGCAGUGCUGCUCUACUGCUGUAUUGCUGUGCUGCAGUGCUGCUCAUGCUGCAGUUUGUUGCCUGUUACUGCAGUUAUUGCUGUGCUGCAGUGCUGCUGUGCUACUUCAUGCUGCCCAGUGCAUGCUGUACUUGCAGUGGUGCCGUGCUGCUCAUGCUGCAGUGUUGCAGCUGCUGCAGCUCACCCUGCUCCAUCUCAUCCCCUCCACACAUCUCAGCUCAGCUCAGCCCCCGCAGCCGCUGCCACGACGCAGCACAGGUCGAUCCACCCCAUUGAUACAGGUCAGUCCGCCCCAUUGAUACAGGUCAGUCCACCCCAUUGAUACAGGUCUGUCCACCCCAUUGAUACAGGUCUGUCCAUGCCAUUGAGGAUGUUGUGUUCAUUUUGCAGCACCAGCUGCAGCCCCAUGCGAUGCAUGUUGGGUUCAUCUUGCAGCCUGCAGCCCCGUGCGAUGCAUGUUGGGUUCAUCUUGCAGCACCAGCUGCAGCCCCGUGCGAUGCAUGUUGGGUUCAUCUUGCAGCACCAGCUGCAGCUCCAUGCGAUGCAUGUUGGGUUCAUCUUGCAGCACCAGCUGCAGCCCCAUGCGAUGCAUGUUAGGUUCAUCUUGCAGCCUGCAGCUCUGUGCAAUGCAGCCCGGCCUCCUCCCAGCUGGGAGCUGCUGCUGCUGCUGCUGCUGGUGGGGGAUGCAUGUGCAGCACAGCAGGACGGGCUGCACCUCCUGCUCCUGCUGCUCCUGCUGCUCCUGCUGCACAGCUGCGUCCCACUGCGGCUUCCUGCCCUGCACACACACACACACACACACACACACACACACACACGUGAUGGAGCAGCAGCAGGGGCAGGAAGGCGGCGGUUCCUAUUUCCUCACAUUGUAGGCGAGUUUUUUUUGCUGCUUUGUUGUUAUUUUGGUUUAAUUUCUUUCCUUUCUGAGCCUCGCGAGGCCGACGCGACGCGAUGGAGCAACAGAGCAAACAACGCAGUCAGAACAUCCCAAUGCGUGGGGGUGCAGAGCAAAGGGAGCAGAGCAAACAAUGCAAAGUCAUUGCAACACAUGGGGGUGCAGAGCAAAAGGAGCAGAGCAAACAGCUCCAAGAACAGAGCAAAUAAUGCANNCAAACUCAUCCCAACACAUGGGGGUGCAGAGCAAACGGAGCAGAGCAAACAACGCAAAGUCAUUGCAACACAUGGGGGUGCAGAGCAA